GACGAACGCUGGCGGCGUGCUUAACACAUGCAAGUCGAACGGAAAGGCCCUGCUUUUGUGGGGUGCUCGAGUGGCGAACGGGUGAGUAACACGUGAGUAACCUGCCCUUGACUUUGGGAUAACUUCAGGAAACUGGGGCUAAUACCGGAUAGGAGCUCCUGCUGCAUGGUGGGGGUUGGAAAGUUUCGGCGGUUGGGGAUGGACUCGCGGCUUAUCAGCUUGUUGGUGGGGUAGUGGCUUACCAAGGCUUUGACGGGUAGCCGGCCUGCGAGGGUGACCGGCCACAUUGGGACUGAGAUACGGCCCAGACUCCUACGGGAGGCAGCAGUGGGGAAUAGUGCACAAUGGGCGGAAGCCUGAUGCAGCAACGCCGCGUGCGGGAUGACGGCCUUCGGGUUGUAAACCGCUGUCGCCUGUGACGAAGCGUGAGUGACGGUAAUGGGUAAAGAAGCACCGGCUAACUACGUG
rnacentral:rRNA from 1 species